UGAGGUGAUGGAGGUGGUGGUAGUGGUGGUGGAGAUGGUGGCAGUGGCGGUAGCAGUGGCAGUGAUGGUGGUGAUACUGGCAGUGGCUGUGGUAGUGGUGACGGUAGGGCUGAUAAGGGGGGUGAUAGUGGUGGCGGUGGCAGUGAUGGUGAUGGUGAGGCUAGUAGUGGCCGUAGCGGUGGGUGGUGGUGGAGGUGGCAGUGGUGGUGGUGGUGGCGACGACGAC
rnacentral:lncRNA from 1 species